GCAAACUUGGUCAUUUAGAGGAAGUAAAAGUCGUAACAAGGUCUUCGUAGGUGAACCUGCGGAGGGAUCAAUGAUGAAUGAUAAAGCGUGGUUUCAUUGAAACCCACGUCUUUUCUUCUAAUCUUUACACCCUUUAGUGCAUUGAAAUUCUUAAAAGUCUUAGGAAAUUUAGAGUGUAAACUUUAAACCGUACUUUGAUUUUUAGAAACCCUUUAUGAAUGUAAAAAGUUGUGGUAAAUGACCAUAUAAUAAUAGUGAAUACAACUAUUAACGGUGGAUCUCUUGGCUCUCGCAUCGAUGAAGAACGCAGC
rnacentral:misc_RNA from 1 species